rnacentral:rRNA from 1 species
GAUGAACGCUAGCGGCAGGCCUAAUACAUGCAAGCUGAACGGUAAAUAUUGUAGCAAUACGAUAUGAGAGUAGCGUAAGGGUGCGUAACACGUAUGCAAUCUGCCCGCAACAGGAGGAUAGCUCCCCGAAAGGGGAAUUAAUACUCCAUAAUAUCACGAGAGGGCCUCGGAUUGUGAUUAAACUCCAAGGGGUUGCGGAUGAGCAUGCGUCUGAUUAGUUAGUUGGUGAGGUAACGGCUCACCAAGACGAUGAUCAGUAGGGGAACUGAGAGGUUGAUCCCCCACACUGGCACUGAGAUACGGGCCAGACUCCUACGGGAGGCAGCAGUAGGGAAUAUUGGUCAAUGGGUGAGAGCCUGAACCAGCCAUGCCGCGUGCAGGAAGAAAGCCUUCUGGGUUGUAAACUGCUUUUGCCAGGGGAUAAAAUACCCAUGCGUGGGGAAUUGAAGGUACCUGGUGAAUAAGCCACGGCUAACUACGUGCCAGCAGCCGCAGUAACAC